rnacentral:tRNA from 1 species
AAUAAAGUAAGCUAAAAAAGCUGUUGGGUUCAUACCUCGAAAAUGGAUGUAUUUAUAUCUCUUUAUUA